AAUUUAGAAUUUAGGUAAAAAUCAGCAUUUAUAAAUUGACAUGCACCAAUUCCCUUGUUUGGAUUCAUAAACAUAGAAAUUUAGAAUUUCUGCAUGGAAAAAAACUUAGAAUUUGGGACCUCCAAUUCCCAAGUUUAAAUUCCAUGUAAAUAGGUGUCAUUUCCCAAUUUCUAUGAUUGAAAGUUUAAAAAUAAAAAUUCCGUAUUCAAAUCCAUUGUUCUUUUAGGUUUACCAAAUAAGAAAAUUCACAAAUGCAGGAAAAUAAAAUCACGUCAUUUCAAUUUCCAUCAUUUUAAAAUGCCUUAAUAAUCUUAAAUUUCUUCAUCCUAAGCCCUUGUAAAGAAUUUUCUCACAAUUCAUAUGAAUUCUAUGAAAGUUAUCAUUAAUUUACUCAAAAUCCCUAGGAAUUUUUUUUUUCUCUCUCUCUCUCUCAAACUCUCCCGAAUUCCAUGAAUUUAAAAAUUCCCUAGAACUCUUCCAAAAUCCUAAUUGAAUACACCCCCUUAGUUUCCUUAUCUUUUGUAAAUAAGGCAUGUGACAAUAUAUUAUAAAGGGUGAAUUGCCAAUGUAGUCCAUAAAUUAUCACCUCAAUGAAAAUUAGGUCGCUAAACUAUUUUUUUCCAGAAAAAUCAGUCAUUGAAUUAUAAAAAUCUACCAAUUACAUCCCUAAUAUUAUAUUCUAAGCUACUAUAUUCAAUUUUUUGUCAAUUUAAGCCACGUUACUUGCAUGUGAUAUUGACACACCCCGACCGAAAUCGAGGCAUGUUGGCCGUCACAUGAGGGUGACGUAGCCAUGUGCACAGUGCGGAAGCAAUAAGGAUAAAGAAUAUACGAAUAAAUAAAAAUCGAAAGCUACUAAUGUGCACUAAUAAACAGGAAGUGCUAAGAGUGAAAUACAAGUCUAAAUACACCUAAUCAGAGCGUAGAAAGUCUAGGUGCAGUCCAGUAAGACAAGUACCAAUUAUACAGUACCAUAAGAUGUCCUACAAUCAUUUUAAUAUGUUAGAACCACCGAAAUCCUCGUACGCCACCAAACAGCAAGCUUACCUAAAACCUGGAGGGGUGCAAAACAGAAAAUGUGAGUGGGCCAAAACAAAUGUUUUACAAAACCAUUUCAUUUCUCAACAGUUCUAACCCCUCGCCGUAAAACAUGUAUAAUUUUUCCCAAAAAUAGAAUAUAAACAUAUGCAUAAAUGUACAUAUAAGUAUCUCAAUUCACAUCAUGCUUCACAUAACCAUAUUCAUAAGUAUACUAUGCCAAAACAUAAAAAAUAGAAUUAGUAACUCAGGUGAGAAUAGAUUCAUAGAAAAUAAUAUAUUAGCCGGAACCCCUGCAUAAGUCUGUAAGGCUAAAUUCAUAGCUCAUUAGUCAACCUAGCCGGAGUUACUACCGUGACUUAUACGGCACUACACUGCAUAUAAGUCGGAACCACUAAGAAGGGGUCUGUACGACAAGACUGGGUGUAAUAUAGUUAUGCUCAAUACUACUCUCUCAUGAUAGCUGGGCGAUAAAUAGCUAGUCACCUACGAGUCGGAACCACCUAUGAUGGUCUGUAAGACAAGACUAUGCACCUAAAUUGGAUCCAAUACGAGCAUAUGGUGCUGGAGGUGACAUUAUAUACAGGCCUAUGCCCUAUCUCUGGCUAAUCAUUAACACCGGGGUGCAGGUUUAUGAGCUCAAUGUUUCUCAAUCACAUAUCACAUCAUCGAUACAUCACAUAACCAAACAUAACUCACCUGGUACUUACCUGAGCGUCCACAGCACCAUAAUUAUAUAUUACGCAUCAUAUAUCAACUCAUAUACAGAAUAUAAAUUUAUAUGCAUGGCAAUUCAAGGCAUACUUCAUUUAAACGUAGUUUUCUGGGAAAAUAUCAAGUAUAUAAGUAUAUACUGAAAACUAAAAGCCCACUCACUAGUAUGUUGAAGGGUCGUAGCCCCCGGGUCACCCUUGACCGCACUCGUCCUCGGGAUAAGUCUCCCCUAUAUGCGAAACAACUAUAAAAACAUCAUUUAAAGCACAUAGACAAAACUAGCUAAUAACUUCUCAUACAAUGCUCAAAUGGGGUGUUUGAAUAUACCAACGUGAUCUACACAACUCCACGAACAUCCUCAUAUUUUUAGAAAAAAAGUUCAACCACCCACACGCUACCCACGCACAGGGACCCUAACGGAAUCCCUUAACCCCGUUAGGAAUACUUCGUGGAAUAUUCCGUUAAACAGUAAUGGAAUCCGUUAAACUAACCAACGCCGUUAGGAAAUUCCAUCAAAGUUGACGGAAUAUUCCAUCAUCCCCUACCUCAGAACUCCGGCGACCAUCGCCGGCUCUGGAAACUGGGAAAUUCUUUAAACCUUCGUUUCUCAUCCAUUUCUUAGUCAAAUUUCACUAAUUAUAUACCAAAAUGAAGCUUAAGACAAGUAGAACAAACCCUUACCAGUUUUAGGACCUAAAUCUCACGGGAUCUUGCCAGAAAAAUCCACGAUAAUCCGGCCAAACUUAAAACUCGUCGUUCUCAAUACUUCGACGUCCAAAUUCUUCCAACGAACCACUCCCAGCCUCGUGAGGACCUUUUUAAGCUACCUAUAAGUUUGAAAUCCCCAAAAACACGUGAUUUUACGUUUUCAUGAAUAGUACCUAAAUCGGAGUUCGAGAGAAACUAGGGUUUUCGAAAGAGUUCUUACCUAAAAAUGGUACCAUUCGACUCGUAUGAAUCUCAGGAACACGAUAGUGUCCUUUAAACCCUUGAUCUGCAAACUUUCUACUAUAUUUGUUAUUCGUCCGUAUGGGAGAAAGGAGAGAGAGUGAGUCCGAGGGAGAGAGAGCACGGGAGAGAAGAGAGAGGAAGGGUUUGUGUGUGUGUGUGAGUGGUCCACGUGGGUCACCAACCAAAACCACAAAAGCUAAGUGCUACUUUGGUCCAAAAAUUAAGGAAAAACAUAAGUUUGGACCACCCCUAACAUGCAUAACAUACACCACAACACUCACGUCCAAGGGUAAAAUAGUCAAUUCACAUCAUCGAUAAUUCAUUUCGAGACGGGCUGUGACAGAUACACAUUUGAGGGUAGAUUGGCAGUUUUUUCAUAAAAAAAUAGCUUAUGAAGUUAACUUUGGAGGGUAAAUUAUUGAUAGGUUUUCAUAAGAAAUAGUGUAAGUUAAUUUUGAGGGUAAAUUAGACGUUAGAUUCACCACUAUAUGAAAUGUUAAGGGUUUAUACGCAAGGAAAUAACGGUAUUACACUCCAAAGUGUGUAAAGUGACUUAAGUUGACGAAAAAAUAGAUAUAAUAGCUUUUAAUUGUUGUAAACUUUCCUAGUUUAAGUGUGAUUGUGUAAAUCCUAGAUUAUAUUUGAUUCUAGUUAUCCUUUCCUAUUACAACUUGUAUUCCUUGGGGAUGAAGGAAUUUCUUCUCUCUCUUUACUACUAUAAAUAAAGGCACUACAAUUCUACAAUUCUACAAACACAUCUCUCUCAAUUUAUCUACCCUUGCCGCCGGCCCUAUUCCCUUUGUCAGAUAAAAUA
rnacentral:lncRNA from 1 species